UUUUUUUUUUUUGGUGCUGGUUUGGUUCAUUAGUUUUUUGAUACACCCACACAGUUAGGGAAUUUGGAAGACUGAAAAUCGCCCCAAAAUUUGCUCAAAUCACAAUUCGCUAGAAACCAAAUGUAGUCUAGCAUACAUGCAAAUUCCUAUAUCUGACAGAGCUCUAGAUUAUACAACUUAUGUUUCUAUUCAUUCCAAUAUAAUCUUUACACAAUUUUGAUUUGAUACCUGUCUGAUACUUGCUCCCUUAGCUUUAAAACAUAUUGACUGCCUGAGUAUAAAUUAAGUAGGUACUAAUUUCAGAAAAAUUAUGAAAAGUGUAAAAUGUAUAUUUGUGUUUCAUAUUAAUGUAAUCCAUGUGAAAAACCU